rnacentral:rRNA from 1 species
UCCAGACUCCUACGGGAGGCAGCAGUGGGGAAUAUUGGGCAAUGGGCGAAAGCCUGACCCAGCAAUGCCGCGUGAAUGAAGAAGGUCUUAGGAUUGUAAAAUUCUGUCCUAUGGGAAGAAACAAAUGACGGUACCAUAGGAGGAAGCCCCGGCUAACUACGUGCCAGCAGCCGCGGUAAUACGUAGGGGGCGAGCGUUGUCCGGAAUUACUGGGUGUAAAGGGAGCGUAGACGGCCAGACAAGUCAGAAGUGAAAGCCCAGGGCUCAACCCUGGGACUGCUUUUGAAACUGCCGGGCUGGAGUGCAGGAGAGGUAAGCGGAAUUCCUAGUGUAGCGGUGAAAUGCGUAGAUAUUAGGAGGAACACCAGUGGCGAAGGCGGCUUACUGGACUGUAACUGACGUUGAGGUUCGAAAGCGUGGGGAGCAAACAGGAUUAGAUACCCCUGUA